UUUUUUUUUUUUUUUAAUGUUUGGACAAAUUUUGCAUCAUGGGUGGCCUGCCCUGGUAGGAAAUAUCUGGAAAUUUCUUGAAAAUACGGUAAAAAAAUACCGAUAAAUACCUAAUUUUUCUCCAUAUUUCAAAGAUUGGUGGUUCUCAAAUUUUUUUCCCUCAACAUUCCCCACAAACAGUCGUCUUGUAAACAUAAAUAUUUAAGAUAUAACAAAACAAAAAAAUCCCCAAAUAUUCUAAUUCACAGGGUCGUGAACAAUGCAAAACAAUCUUCAGCCCAAAUAUUUUCUCAACACCCAAACAAAUCCUUAAAUGGAGAAACUCACUUGUGAUUAAUCCAAAAGAAAGAGGAAGCUCCACUGCGGUUUCCAGAAACCUUAAAAAUAUUCCACCUUUGAUGAAGAAAGAUGAAGGAAUGGCUCAACUUUGGCUUCGUUGCAGGUUUUUGGAAGCUGGCUAUCGGGUUUGAGUGGUCAGCUCGUGAACAGAGACACUAGGGUUAGGCCAAAAUGAGACAAAAUGAGAAGAAGUGACAAAGUUAUGAAAAUGUAGAGCAAAAUUGGGUUAGGGCAAAAUGAGAGGAAGUGAUAGAGAGUUUCCCCAAAUUUCAAAGUUUAUCGAGUUGGGUGUUCUGUGGGUUUUGCAAAUUUUAUAUUUUUAAAAGCACAACUUCCGGUGACAUGGAGACGCGUGAUGGUUGUUGACAGGGAUGAAUGGAGGGGUAAUUUCGGAAAUGCAAUUUUAAAUAGUAUAUAGUGCAUGAAAAGGAAAAAUUUUCUUGAAAUAGUGGACAUAUCUUGGGUUAUGCAAACUUGGGUUUUGAAGAUAAUAUUAUUGGCAAAUGGGCAUCCUAAACACAACUUUCCCUUGUAAAUAAGCAAUAAUUGGUGGUGAAAGUGUCAUUUAUUUAUUUACCAUUUAUGCCCUUGAAUCCCUCAGGAAGCGAGCUUUGACCCAGAAGACUACGUUUUAAAAAAAAAUCCAUAAAGUACCCAAAUUUCUAAAAUAAUGCCCAAUCUAAUGUGUCUGGCCACGUAGAUUACCACGUCAUAAAACCGUAGUUGGUAACUACGGUUUUAUUUUUUAAAAACAGUCAAAACCGUAAUCACCAAUCACGGUUUUAACUUUAAGUUUAAAACCGUAGUUGGUGACUACGACUUUGACUACUUUUAAAAACAGUGUAGUGACCAACUACGACUUUAACUUUAAUUUUAUAUAUAAAUAUAUAUAUAUAUAUAUAUAUAUAUAUAUAUAUAUAUAUAUAUAUAUAUAUAAAUAUAUAUAUAUAUAUAUUUAACUUUAAUUUUUUAAAAUAAAAUAUUAUAUUAUUUUGAUUUUAUAUUGAUUAAAAAUAUGUAAGUGGUGUAAUAAAAAUAUUUAACUUUAAUUGAUCUCAUUAUUUAAAGAAUAGUAAUAUAUGAAAUUAAAUAAUUGAUGUCUUUAAUUUGAUAUAAAAAUAUAUUUUGAUAAUUUUAUUAAAAUAUUUGGCACUACACUCAAUAUAAAUAUAAUUAGUUAUAAAUAUACUAUUUCAUACCCUUAUAAUGAAGAAUAAUAUUUUAUUUUAUAACUUUGUGCAAAAAAUUAAAGGCAAUUAUGCACUUGUACAAAAUAUAAUAUGACUUUAAGUGGGCAAAUAAUUGGAAAAUUAUUUAAAUACAACAAAAAAUAAUUUUUUUUUUCCAUUUUUCUCCUUUCAAAAUGGGAUCAAAAUGGAAUGGAAAAAAAAAUGUUGUAAUGGUAGCUGUAAAGGUUUAAGCCUUUCCAUUCCAUUUUGAUCCAUUUUGAAAGGAGAAAAAUGGAAAAAAAAUUUAUUUUUGUUUUAUUUAAGUAAUUUUCCAAUUAUUUACCCAUUUGAAGUCAUAUUAUAUUUUGUACAAGUGCAUAAUUGCCUUUAAUUUUUACACAAAGUUACAAAAUAAUAUAAUAUUCUUAUAAAAUAGUAUAUUUAUAACUAAUUAUAUCUAUAUUGAGUGUAGUACCAAAUAUUUUAAUAAAAUUAUCAAAAUAUAUUUUUACAUCAAAUUAAAGACAUCAAUUAUUUAAUUACUAUUCCUUAAAUAAUGAGAUCAAUUAAAGUUAAAUAUUUUUAUUACACCACUUAUAUAUUUUUAAUCAAUAUAAAAUCAAAAUAAUAUAAUAUUUUAUUUAAAAAAAUUAAAGUUAUAUAUAUAUAUAUAUAUUUAUAUAUAAAAUUAAAGUUAAAGUCGUAGUUGGUGACUACGGUUUUGACUAUUUUUAAAAAAUAAAAUCGUAGUUAUCAACUAUGAUUUUAUGAUGUGGUAAUCUACGUGCGCAACAUUGGACAUUAUUUUAGAAAUGGAGUACUUUAUGGGUUUUUUUUUUUUUAAAACGUAGUCUUUUGGGUCAAAGCUCCUCCUGAAGCAGCUUGUACGGGGCCCCAAUUUCGCAUGUGCCCGAGGAAUGGAUCAUCUUUCAUUCGGCUUCAUCCAAAACUAGGGUUCCAUCAGAGCAUCCAUGGACGAAGACGUAUCGCGAUGGAUUCUGGAAUUCAUGAUUCGGAAGCCCAUCGGCGAUUCUCUGGUCAGACGUCUCAUCUCCAUUCUUCCUCUUUCGAACAGCCACCCGCGAAUGAAGAAGACCGUGCUGUUGAGAAAAAUCGAGUCGGAAAUCUCCGAUGGCUCUGUUUCGGAGACCAUCCUUGAACUGCUUGAAAUUAUCGAAGAGUUGGAUUAUAAAGAGGGAGUCGCUGUUUUGGAUUCGAUGAAGAACGCGUAUUGCGCGGUGGCUGUGGAAUGCACGGUGAAGUUUCUGGUCGGGAGUGGUGGGAAAGAGGGCAAGUAUUUUGAUGCAGUGAAGAGGAUUUGGAGGGGGAAAAUUCAUAAAAUGGAGAGUUCGGCGACGGCGGGGUUGGUUUCAGACCAGUUGCGGAAAUGGAGGGAUGACAUUGAGGCUGCUGUUUGGGAUGCGAGAGUUUGUGAAGAUAUAUUGGCAAAAAAUACUCGAAAUGAUGCUUUGAGGUUGGUUCGGGCGUAUGUAGCCGAAGCUUGGGCCAUCAUGGGUCCUCCGUUCCUGGAAUUGGCUGCUCGAGCGAUCAAGUUGGUGGAAGGAUUGCCGGGGGCAGGUAACGGUUCAACAUGUAAUCAAGCUGCAGCGUGUUCGCCCAAUGUGGCUACAGACUUGGUCGUCCCUGAUAAAGAUAAAGGUACGUCUAGUAGGCUCUGGUACAUAGUUUUUUUUUUCCUCUGCAUUUGGGUUUUUCUCUUUUUUUUUUUCCUUCUGAGUUUACAUGUUUGUAAUGCCAUCUUUUGGAAGGACAGGAAAAUUUUAUUGCUUUAUGCUAAAUGUACUGUAUUAUUCAUUUCAAAGCUACAAACUUCACGGGAUAGAAAAUUUAUGGCUGCGAGAUGUGGCCAUUUGUCAAGAUUUGUUUUGAUUUGGAAUUCAGAUUCUAUGGAAUUAAAAAUCAUUAUUUUGGCUGUGGAGUGUUCCUUGUGAAGCUCUGUUGUUUUGAUGGAAUUGGGUCCCAAAUCCAAGGCCUCUUUCCUUUCAACCAAACACACUUAAGACUGUAUAUGGUUUAGAAUUUGAAGGAGUUGAAUUUCAAAAUUUAUGCCUUUGUUGUGAAAUAGUUUUUAUAGUUUUGGGUUCUGGAGUUCAAUUUCAAAUCCAUUGGUAUAGAAAGGAAUUAGUCAAUGUAACUGAAAUUGGAGCCUCCAAUUUAAAAUUCAGAUCCCCAAUUUGAAAGCAACCAAAUGGCCUGAGUGUAUUUUCUUCCAUAACUUGAUAAGCAUUGUACUUAAAUGAUUAUGUGAUCCAAUGACCACCACAGUUAUUUCUAUUCAAGCUUGUUUUUGACAUUUUGGAGUUUUUCAUCUACAAUUCAGAACUAAUUUUGUUAAAUAAUUUAUUUUUUUAAUUAAUAGAAACACUGAAGGCUAGUAUGUUGCCCAAACGCAAGCAUGUUGGUGGCCAUGGUAGACGCUCCAGAGGAGGAGUUAAGAUUACUGAUACUGAAGAAGUGAGAGGACAAACAUCGGGUAGCAAAUAUGAUUGCCUGCCAAGUCCUGAGGUUGAUAGAGUGCAAGCAGCACUUAAAUCCAGUUCUUUGGAGUUGCAAGCUCUGGUGAAGGACCCUCUUCCUGAAGCAUUACAAUUGGCUGAAGCUGUAAUAUCUGGCUUGGCAAAAAAAGAUGUGAAUCAUGAGCCAUUGACUAAAGACCAGGGCAUAAUAGAUGUAGCUGCACCCAAUCCUUCUGUUGGCAAGAAUCUCGUUGCUGACCAAACAAAUGAAGCUGAUAGUGGACAUCAAUGUACUACAGAUCAGAAUAAUGUUCCUAGACCCAGCUUAAUGGCAAGGAAUGGCACUGCUCGCACUUGUGAGGUAAUAUGUCUUUUGUUGCUUUGAUUAACUCGUUUUUUUUUUAUUUAAGGGGAAAAUGGCUUCAAUUUUUCAUUUUCACACAUUAUUUAAUUUAUUUCCAUGUCUAUCCACAUAUUAGAUCCGUUUGUUUUCUAUUUUAUCAUAAAUUAGAAGCAGGCCGCUUGCUGUUUGAUACACACUGAUUGUUUUAUUAAUGUAUUUGCUAUUUGGAAGUUGGAACCUAUGCUUAGUUGUCUUAUGACAUCUGCAGAAAGCGGGCAUCACACUUCAUUGAAAACACAUUCUGUAUCAAAUGUAUUUUGAAAUUAAAGUUUCCAGCUUAUCUGUUUCUUAGGAAAUUUUUUCUGGUUUUUUUUUUUUCAUUAUGUGGAUUGAGCCACAUCUGAUUGAUUCAUCAAGCAUGGAGAUGAGAUCAAACAGUUAUAGGUAAUUUACGAUGUAUGAGAUCUGGUGAACUAGUGCUCCCCUUCCUUGCCAUAAAACCUUAUGCAGAUUUAUGUUAAUGAAAUAAUGAUAGGAGAUUCCUCCGAGAUGAGAUCAACCAGUUAUAGGUGAUUUACGAUGUAUGAGAUCUGGUGAUCUAGUGCUCCCCUUCCUCACCAUAAAAUCUUAUUCAGAUUUAUGUUAAUGAAAUAAUGAUAGCAGAUUCCUCUUUGAAAUUAUGCCAAGACCAUGAAGUUGCAUUGUAGCUGAAAAUCUUGUUGAACUGUGCUAUUUAUGGGUCUACUCUUUUAUAAGAAUUGUGGAUUUUUAUUCACAUGUUAUUCUACACAUGCUCUUCAACUUCUAUUUCUCUUUGUAGUGGGAUGAUUCAAUUGAUGCCUCACCUGAAGGUUUGUCCAGUGAUACUAACAUUUGCUUACCUAGCCCAAAGAGAAAGGCGGUUUCUCCUUUGAAGAAGUACGAAAUCACUAAACUUGCUAAGAGAAGACAAAUGAAGAAAUGGAGUAUACUGGAGGAAGACACUUUGAGGACUGGUGUGCUGAAGUAAGUGAUUACUGGGAUCAGUGGAGAAUAUAACUAGAACUUACUUUGCUUCAACAUGAAAAAUAUUUAUUUUGUUUCAACAUGAAUAGUAUAGGUUUUAUUUAUUUGUUUAUUUUAUUGAAAUCCCAGUUAUUUCUAUUGAAGGUUUUAAACCCCUAGGUGAGGCAUGCGUUUCUUUUCUUUCUAGCUGAUGAUAUAGUAUAUGGUAUGCUACCAUAUCCUGCAGAUGGGCUUCCCACUUAAUUUUAAUGCUUAUCUUUGGGACCUGGUUAUGGAGAAAGCAUUUAAACAGCUGAAUGGGUGGAAAAAAGCCUUUUUACCUUGGAGGAAGGUUGUCUAAGACGUUCAGACCUAUCAUCUGUUUAUUUUUAGAUCCCACAAGAAGUUGUAUCUAGAAUAGUGAAAAUCCAUAGCGAUUCCUCAUGAUUAGGUGUUAGGAAGGAGGAGGAGGAGGGGGAGGAUUCAUUUAGUUACAUGCAAUUCAGUUUGUAGUACUCAAUCUGAGGGCACUUAGUUCUAGGAGGAUUCUGUAUUAGGAAUAAAACCUUCAUCAGAAGAUGCCUAUUGAAGUUCCCUAGGGUAGGGAGGGGGAAUCCUUCUGACAUCAGGUGAUAAGAAGUUUGUGAUUUGCUAGGAUGCCAACUUUAUGAUCUAGGAUUUCAUAUUGGUGCCCUUGGAAAACAAGUGCCCAAAAAUAUUCAAAUUUCAUUUGGCCCAUUCAUUUUUCUAUCGACAAUGGACCAUCUAUAUUAUAGCGGGGAAAGAUUCUAGCACUUUUGAAAGGCUGCAAAAUUGCUUUACUUGUCUGAUUACUGGGAGUGGAUUUAGCUGUUGGUCUCUCCUGGAUGACCAAUGACAGUGGCAGACCUUGGAGAAUUGGUCAUUGACUAUGAAGGAUAGUGUCUAGAUUGGAUUUAGCUGUCUAGAUAUGGGUCACUCUCUCUGUUUGAAGUGUAACCAGGAAAAGCUGGCUAAGAGAUGAGCUUCUUCUUCCUUUUUGUGGGAGAUCAUCUCCCCCUUGAGACUUCCGUUUUUAAACCUGGUGUGGGGGUUCAGUUACUGGGGUUAUUCCUUUAUGCUGCGGUUUAUGUUCUCUUCUUUCCUCUUGUGACUUGGUAGAAUUUCUCAUUCUUCUUAUUUACAUGCUCCUUAAUUUAUAAUACUAUUUUGUUCCAUAUCAAUGUCAAGGCAGUUUUCUUCUUCUUUUUUUCUUUUUUAUGUAUUUCGCCCUAUGCUUACCUUUUGCUCAUUUUAAGCAAAUUAAUGUUGGACGCUAAUAUCGUUUUUGAUGAAUAUGAAUUUCCACAUUGAUACACUCUCAUUUUUGUCUUUUCCUUCCUAAAAGGUUUGGUAAGGGAAAUUGGACACUCAUUUUAAACUGCUACCGGGACAUUUUUGAAGAGAGAACCCAGGUAAACUGGCCGCAUACUCAUCUGCAAUAUCUUUGUUUGCUCUCACAAUCUGGUUAGACUUUAUAUGAGUGGUUGUUUCAUUCAGGUUGAUCUUAAGGACAAGUGGAGAAACAUGACCAAGUAUUGAUACUUCAUGCAGUCAUCAUCUGUUUUUUGUGCUAUAUAAUGGAGAAGUAUGCUCCUUGUCCUUGUUUUUAUGGCAUCUCAUACUUUUCUGCCCAUGCAUCACACUUCAGCCAGGGUUUCAAUGCUAAGGAGGCGCUGUGGAUGAACCGUAAUUAUCAGACUCUACCUUUUGGAACAACUUGUAUAAUUUCUGUAUAUCAUGUCCUGAUGAAGGAAGUGGGUGUAGUUUAUGUCCUAACCAGCUAAGGAAGAUGGAGCAAUCUAAAAUCCAUCCAGGGAUAGUAGGGCAAAGGUGUUUGUAACUGUUCAUAGCUUUUUGUUAUGUUGUGUCAUUGUAUGGCACAGUGCCUUGGACCUUCAAAGUUCAACUACAUAUGAAAUAGUGAUUUUGGUUGUUCAUAGCCUUUUAACUUUAUGUUUCAUUUUUGGUGGGUUAGAACGACCAAUAUGCCAUCUUUUUGUCUUGAACGUUUUCUUUCUGGUGGUCGGAUGACGGUGGAUGGGUGUACCAGUUCGAUUUGAGUUCCUUUCUACCAGGAUCCGUGAUAGGAUUGUGGUGGUCUACCUCUAUUAUCAGUUAGAUGGUGGGUUUAUUCAAGCUUAUUACUAUUCAAGAAGAAGCUCUUGGUCUAUUGGGAAUUAACAUCAUGAAACAUGAGGGGGAUAAGGUUCAUAUGUUCCAUUGAGCUCGUGAGACAUGGGCAUUGUAACAAGUGUAUAAUAUUAUAGUGGAAAAUAGGUUGGGAAAAUUGUUUUCUAUUUGCAUUUCCUAACAUAAUUUUGUUUCUCAAAACAAUUGAACACCUUUAUUACACCAUUUUCAACAAAGCUUUUUUUUUUUCAUUAUUAUUGAAAAAAUUGAAGGCAUAAAUCCAACAUUUCAACUUUAAUCAUGUUUCAAAAAAUGCCCUACAUAAGGUAAUUUUAUAGACAGAAAGCCCUUGCCCUUCAGUGUCCCUGAAAUUAUAUAAACUCCCAGUGCCUCCACCAUGGAUGAAAAGGUUGAAUGUUGGCUACAUCUUAAUAUUUUUGAACUGAUAUACAGUGGUGAGAACUAAUUAGAAGCCAGCAGUCUAAAUUUCUGCAGAAAAUUCUUCUGAUUAGUCCUCAACUCAUAGCUAUGUAUAGCAGAAACAGCCAAAACCCUCCACCAACCUCUUCCCGUCCAAGCUCUAUUUAAAGGCUGUAACUCUUUGUGUAUGUGUGCAAGAGAAUUGAGAUAUAAAAAAUAGGGAAAGAGAGAGAGAGAGAAGAGAAGUUUGCUGCCAUGGCCAAUUCUACAGUCCUUAAGCUAGCAUGCACUGUAGUUCUUGUGUGCUUGUUGGUAACUGCUCCUCAGGCAGAUGCCACGGUAACAUGCAGCCAGGUGACACAGCUGCUGAACCCUUGUGUCAACUACCUAAUCUAUGGGGGGGCGAUACCUUCCUCCUGUUGUGCUGGUGUAAAGCAGGUUAAAGCAGCUUCCAAGACUGGAGAAGAUAGGAGAACUGCAUGCAGCUGCAUCCAGGAUGGUGCUGCAAUGAUCCCUGGAAUCGACUAUAACCUCGUCGCCUCCCUCCCAUCUCAAUGUGGGGUUUCCUUGCCCUACAAGAUCAGUCCCUCCACUGACUGCUCAAGGUUCAUCUUCUGCACACUUGCCACCCUCUUUUGUUAUUUACUUAUCAUAGAACAAAGUCUGUAACAAAAUUUUAAGCAUGAAAGCAUUCUAAUGGCAUUGGCGUGACUUUAUUGCAGGAUCAACUGAGUCUUCAAAUCUGGAAAUGGAUUCCUAAUGAUGAGAGAAUAAAGAUUUGUGGGAAGAAGGUUGUGACCCUGGAAAGCUAGUGUCCAUUUCCAUUGUUCGAAGCCUGCCUUCUCGUAGUUGUAUUUGAAAUUCAAUCAUGUAAUAAAAUCGUGGUCCGUGUGGAAUGCAUGUUCCGCCUCAUUAUGAUCAUGUGGUUCAAUAAAAGACGAAAUUUUGUUACAAAUAUCAGUUCUGUCCUUCCCCCCGCCCCCUUUUCUUUGGAUAUUUGGUAGCAGCAUUAGAUUGAGAGAUGAGAGACUCAUGGAACACAUGUUCAUUCUACAUGAAAAGAGAUGCAACAAAAGACCCCGGCAUGGGGGGGGGGGGGGAGGAGGGGGAAUUGAAAGGCAUUAAAAUAAAAAAAUAAAAAUGUUAGAAAAUAGCAUAAAACUUUACAUUGCUCUUUUAGGAUAAUCUUUUUCAUUUUUUCAGCUAAGGAAAAGUUUGCAAGAUGUAUCAUUUUCAACCUUAAUCCAACAACAGAAAUUUUAUUUUGUUUUUUCUUAGUUUCUGAAAAUAAAAAUUACAAAUUUUAUCCCAUUUCCAUGUCGUCACAAAUAAUUAGACACCUCUGGUCAACCAAAGCUUUGAGCUGCUUAGCACAAACAGCUUACAGCAGAUAAAUAGAUGGAAGGAGGACUUGAACUCGAGACUAGCAGAGACUUCAGAAAAUCCGAGACCUUCAACUAAACAAAGUUUGGAUACCAUGUCGAAUUACCAACUUUCCUAAAACAUCAAGAUAAUUGGAUUUGAACCUCUAGAUGAUGGGAUUUGAGCCCAAAAUGUGUACCAUGUUCUAAAUGGUGGAACCAGCACAAUGACAUGUCUCGGCAUGUGACAAAAUGUAGACCUAAUCCGGGAAAAUAGAAAGAAAGAAAGAAAAAAAGAAGCAAAAUUCAUCCGACUAGAUCUCAACUAUUCAUUAAUUCUAAGUCUUCACAUAGGGCCUUAAUACUGGAAAAUAGCAGCAGCCGCUCCUUUUGAUUUGUGCCAAACCAGGACAAAAAUGAACAGAGGAAUACAUGGAUAAUCUUCAAGGAAUCCAAGUUUUCUGGGACAAGGAAGAUGGGAGCUUGUUUUUUCUGUGAUUGGAAUAGUCACCGAACAAGCCAAGGAAGGUUAGGCCGCACAAUUUCCAAGUUUUCCCAUUCAAAAUAUUGACGAGAUAAAAAGUUCAUAAGGAACUACAGGGGGUCAAGCCAAUCUGCAAUGUCUGGACAAGAAGGUUGUUAAAAGAAAACAAGAAAGUGGGAACCACAUUAUUGAAAUCAAGGACAUUACCACUAUGAAAUACAGUAUUAAAUUGUAUGUUCAAAUGCAGCAUGAUACACGGCAGUUACAGGUAAACACAAGAUGAUUAUCAAUCAAGAAAUCAAAAAAAUUGUGAUAAGAUGGUAGUUUGUCUGCUCUGCUUGUAAAAAAGGUGUGUGUGAGAGAGAGAGAGGGGAAGACAGUUCAUCCUUGAAAUUGGAUACAGCAAAGAGAACACAGAGUUUGAAAAUACAAAGCAAGGGAGUAGUAUCAUGGAAAGAUGGGUGUCUCUCCAUCCAGUGGAAAUGACCUUUCAUUCCCACUGGUCCUAGAACCCCAAGAAACAAAAUUUCAUAUUGUAAAGAGGAACACAUGAACAUUGCAAUAAAGCCUAAGGGAGCUUCCCUUUCUUGGGGAAGCAACCCCAAGAAUAAACAAUUAGGAAAUGAUCCAAAGUAGGAUACUAGUUACCAAAUGAAUAAAAAAUAAAAUAAAUAUAGUAUCUUCUCUAACAACGGGAUGUCAGUCUAUAGACAUAUCUGCGCAAUGGAAAAGUCAACAAGUCAGUGGCUGGUUGGAAUUAAAACGUGCUGCUACUCUCGCAGGCAGAGAUGGAAGGGCCUUCAGACUUCACAAGAUGUGAGCCUCUGCUACUGAUGUCAAGGCCCUGUAAUCGGCCAAGAGGGUCAUUCUGCAAAAUUUCUGAGAUCGGUUGAGAAUUUAUAGGCUGCAGGUACUGAGUUGACAUGUUAGAAUGGGAAUGAUGGAAUGGUGGCAACUGCAUGUUUGGCUGGCCAGCAGGCCCAAUUUGUUGAGGAAGUGAGAGAAAGGAUGAUGGGGUGUAUAGCAUUUGCUGCAUUCCCAGGUCAAAUGACUCAGAGGGGCUCAUUAUUUCCCCAGUGGCAAUUUUUAGUCUCUCAACUUCCUGCUUCAAUGCUGUAUUUAGAGCUGCAAGAUAUCAAGUAUUGUUAGGACUUCCCCAAGGACAACAUAUUAGCAUUUGCUACAAGAGAAGGAAUAGCCUUGAUCUAAACAACUUUCAUUGUUUGGGCAUUUCUUUGCUGAGGCUUAGAACAAAGGGUAGACAAUUGGAUGAAAUUUGUACGCUGAGUUAAGAAUCACGAGGAUAGGUAACAACUACCAUCUCCUCUUUAAGAAAACAUGCUCUGUUCUACUUUUUACUUCUCCUAAUAACUCAUUCCAUUUUGAAACAGAAUGAAAUUCAGAAUAGUGAUAUCUACUAGCACAUAAUAUCUCACUUGCAGUCCCAGAACAAAUUGCAUAAAGCAUGAGUUGACCCAUGUUCAAGAGCAUGUACGAAGUUGUCAUAUUGGGUUCACAUUUUCAUUUAAUUCCAUUAUAGAAAAAGAUCAUUUAAAGCUGAAGUUAUACAUAACAGGCAUUAUAUGUGUACUACUUUGUCAAAGAAAAGUUACAACAAUCAGCAGUUGAAACAAGAGCUUCAUAUACAGACCCUGUAUUGAAGUUUACAAACAGAACCAUAGUGGUAAUAUAAGAAAUGAAGCUAGGGUUGUCCCAAUUGAGGACAGGAUUACAGAAAGUUAUAUGAGACGCUUCAUCAAGUGAAAUAAAACCAAUGACUGAAACAGAAAAAAAAAAAGAAAAAGAAGGAAUGCAAAGAAAGCAAUUGAGUCUAAGUUGAAGGUGCCACAAGGGCAAGGGACUAGUCUUGAGGUGGAAGGGAAAUGUUGAUAGCCUAUGAUUUCUCAUGAGGGAUUUCACUUAAUAGAGCCAAAUGGCAGAAAGGAUCUGUAUAACCAACACGAAAUAGUUGUGGUAUAUAACAAGGCUUUGUUAAGUUCAGUUGAGUAAUUGAAAUUAAGUAGUACUGAUUCAUGCAAAAUGAACAAAUUUUAACCUUCUAUUGGCUAGAUUAAAGCUUUCUAUCUAAAAACCUAAUCGAUGUCUGGUUCAAGGGAGAUCCUGUGACACUAGCCUCUGAACAUAUAGCAUGCAAGUGUUACGAAAUGACCAUAAUUUCAUCUAUAUAUAGGUAAAGAGAUGUAGGAACUCAUCAGUGUCAUACAUGCAAGGGAUCAUUAACCAAACAAACAUCAAAUUCUUAAUGUGGUUUUUAAAUGCAUAAUAGAUGUUGAUCAUCAGCAACAGAGACCUCCAGGUAUAUGAAAAAUUAAGGCUAGAAUAAUAAUUAACAAAAUUCAAUAUUUAGAUAACCUUGGCAAUGCACUAAGAGAAAAUAACCAUUUUGGUUUUUGAAGUAAUGUAAUAAUAUAUUGAUUUUCUUAUUAAAAUACUUACCAUCACGCAAUUGAGCUUGUUGCUCCAUAGCUUGUAACCGAAGCUUAAGUUCUGUGUUUUCAGUACUUAGACCUGUUGUGUCUCUCUAAAUGAGAAAAGAAGAAGAAAUCAGGCACAAGUAAGUGUUUGUGAAGGCAGUAAUUGGAUGAAGUAAGAAUUAAAGGAAUAAAAAAAUGAACUGCACAUUUUCAUAACACAAGCUUCUGAAGGUUUAACAUGAAGAAAUGUAAAAAGAUCAACUUUAAAUUCCUGUCAUUCUUAUUUUAUUAUGGAACUAGCUCACCAUAUCAAGGAAAUGUAUAUAAAGGCUCAUAAUACAAUGUGGAAUGUUACAAAGUUCCACACAAAUGAAUGACAUCACAGCCAGGAAGUGUGCCAUACAUCUAAUUCUAUAACAGGUUUAGAUACAAAUGUCUGCAUGCGUUGCAAGGGAAAAAAUCAAUAGCUUAAAUAAUAAAUUUUCAUGUAGCCAUCCCAAGUACUCGGGAUUUGAGGCUUUGUUAUUGAAAAUUAAAUGCGUAUUUGCAAUAAAAAUAAAUGAUCUUUUUUAGAGUUAUUGUUUUGCUUGAUAACUAUCACUUUGCAGUACACAUCUUGUUCUGCUAAAGUAGAUUCAGAUUUUUUUCAUCAAUGAUAGAUGGCAGAUCCUUGUUCAUCUGACAAAUCUAUAUUAACCCUGUGUUCAUGCUUCUAAGAUCCUGUAAUCCCACAUGUUCCUGAAGCACUCGCAUGAGAAGGCUAUUCUGAUGUUUGUCCUUCUAAAGUUUUAUGCAGGAAGAUUCUAAGAAGAACCCUUGUUUAUAAGAUGACAUUGUACACCAAUAUUUAGAUUGUAUUCUCUUUUUCCAGAGCCUGGAUCUGCAGCAUCGAACAUGCCCAAAAUGGAUUAAUAAGCUAAUUGACAACCUAAUAAUUUGUUUGGUUCAAGGUUGAUGCAACAUGGAAGUGGUAGUUACAAAAAAAAAAUUUAACUGGAGUUAAGCUAAAACUAAUUUGAAAUAGCAUACAAUAAAAUAUUGCAAGACUAGAAAGAAAAGGGGGCAGUGGAUUGCAACCUUACCAUAUACAAUACACAUCAGUCGUAUGCCAUAUCCAUCAAAGAAAUCUACCAUGAGCGUAAAAAAACUUUCUAUAAGAAGAUCAUGCCUAAGGAUAUAUUAGCAAGAGUGGUGAAAUGCAAACUAACCACGUAUUCUAUAUUGCAGAACAAGUCAAUUACAUCUUAUAGAACCUACAAAUAAUUCUGGUUUAAAAUAUAUGCUAGAUUAAGAAUCCAUCAAAACAAACCUGGUACAGUGUGAGUUGUGCAGAAAGAGUGGUGGCUUCUGUUUGAAGGGUCUGAACUUUUCGCUCAAGUUCUAAUAUAUAACGGGCCUUCCUCUCUUUUGAGCGAGCAGCAGAUUGCCGGUUUGCCAGAAUCCUGUAUUUAGCAACUAAAGCAUGAGCAGGAAUUCCCAAAAAUGUCUGCCCAAUACUUAAAAAUGAAUAUGACAGAUUUUAACAUACAUGUGUUUGUGUAUACAACUGAACAUGUUUCUAAAGAUAAAUACAUAAAGACAUACCCUCUCUCUAAUACACACACACAUGUUUGUUAGUAUUUCACAUUGCAAGUUUUGAAUCACCUUUAAAAGUCCAGUGCAGGGAAGAGGUGUAAAACAAAAAUGGCUUCAAACAGUAACAAUUGCCUGGAAAAAGUAGUGGAAACAACUUCUACCAAAAUUUUUAAGACAGCUUUCUUUCAUACUAACAUAAAACAUGAAAUAAAUUGGUAAAGAGAAUAUAUGAUACAUAUUUCUAUUUCCUAUUCUUUGCACCUAAGUGGUUAGAGCUUGGGGAAGACCCAGUUUGAAAUUCUUGAGAAGGCCCAUAGGAGGAGUUGAACACCUUAGCAAUUGGGAAAUGGUUUGUUCUUCAGGUGAAUUGAGAUUUCCUUUCAAGUUAAAUGUUUCCUUAUAGAUAAGCCCUAAAUCUGAUCCCUUGUAAUUUUCCUUAAUAGUUCCCUUUUACUGAAAUUUAACCUACUAUUGAUUUUCAAACUGUAACUACUCAGGAAGUCCUUAUAAGUGUUACUAAAACAAUUUUAAAAUGAAUCAUACAAUUUAGGUAAACCCUACAAGGCCUUAUCCAACUGCUUCGAGCCCCUACUAAGAUCAGAAUUUUUUUUCUAAAAAUAAAUUGUUUCAAAUGUCCCAGAAACAAUUAACUUAUGUGCCCCUUGGCACAACAAAUAGAAGUGCUUUUGCAGUUUAGGCAUGUCAAUAUAUGCCUAACCUGUGCAGUAUGUUUUGGGGUAUGUGUAAAAUUCAGGUACACCAAAUAAACCAAUGACCCUCUUUAUCAAUAACAAAUCAUCCAUAGAUAGUUUGGGCCAUACACAUCACAUCAGCCAAUAUUGAAAACUGUUAUACAACUACAAGAGCCAGCGAGUUUCCAUAUAUUGCUGACAAAUGCAACCAGAUAUAUAAAGCUAAAAAAUAGCCCCAGCAAAGUAUCUUAGAACAGAAAAAAGUUACAAACUUUCACGAUAUAUUGUAAUGUAAUACCCUGGGUCCCGGUCGCAGAUGAAUCACAAAAAAUAAAGAACGAAAUACAAGCAAAUUAAAGAGACACAUAGGACUUAAGAGGGAAAAACCAGUUUCAGUUCCCACAUUCAAAAAUAUUUCAACUUGUGGCAAGAUCUAACCUUUUCGUUUACACAUAUCAAAUCAUGAUUAAAAUAGCUUAAAUUAUCCAUAAUUUCAACCAAAGGAAACUCAUAAACAACAAUGCAUCCAAAAAAACCAGCAGAUUGAUUUUUUAUUCCGCAAAACUGAACGACAAUCACACCUUUUGGCGCGCUUAGGAUCAAUAUUCCAAAGCUCAGCCAACUUAUCAGGAGGCAUUGCCUUCUUAGCGUCCAUAAUCUCACCAAAAACACCCUCUUCUCCCUUGGAGGACGAGCAAUCCACCGAAUUACUGUGCCGAUGCCGAGGCUUCACACUCUUCUCCGCCUCACCGCUCUGAUCCGCACCAUUCCCCCCGGCGCCGAGCUUGUCGACAUCGAUGUACGUGGAGAAGAGGUCGUCCUCGGAGGCGAUCUCUUCGAGGCUGGCGGCAGAGGCGUUGAAGGGAUCGGAGGAGGAUAGAUCCACGUCGUCCGGCAUCCGGAAAGUGAGCUCGGAAUGAGCUCGCCGGUGGUGAGGACCUCUGAAGGAGGUAGCAGGGUUUCCGUACAUCGUCGCCGGCGUUGAAUUUUUGGGAGCAUUGUGGGAGCUAGAUGGAUCUUGCAUUUUCAUGGACGUUGCUUCGCCUUCUGUUUUUCUACCCUCCUUUCAAAGCCGCAGACAAUCUGGGAAGGUUAAAAUCGUUAUUCGUUACGCAGUCAUCGCCCCCCAUUACGACGUCGUUUUACUGGGAAUCUUCCACUACCUGGUUGACCCUUUUUAUAACAAGCGUUGUUGUUGAGUCGUUGACUGUCCAUUAAACGAAUAGAUAUGGCUUUUUUUAUAAAUAAAAAAAAAAGAAAAAAAAAAGAAAAUAGAAGAAAAUUCUUGAAGUUACGAAAACAAAAUAAGAAUUAUAAUUUCAUGUAAUGGGUUUUAUAUAAUUUUUUAUCCGGACCAAUAAGUUUUAAUAUAGUCUUCCAUUAUUUAAAGGUGACAAUCUAUCUUUUGUAUGGAUUAUGCAUAUUUUGAGGUGGUAAUCAAUAUGUUUUAAGAGAGUAAUUGAUUUACUAUGACUCCAUUUGAUCCGAGUUUAUUUAUAAUGUAUUUGGCUAUGUAAAAAUUUCUUCAAUUUAUGGUUAUUUUAUGAUACCGAAAAAUUACUUUUCCAUAUCAUAUCAAAAUUUAAAAAAAAAAAUUGAUAGUUAAUCAUAAAUUUUCAAAUAUAAAAUUAUUUAAUUUUUUUGUAAUUUGAAAUCUAUCUCGCUCAAUUGUAUUUAAAUAACAUUUUUUUAAUACUUUGAUCUUAGUUCUUUAUAUCAUUGAUUCAUUUCUUUAUAUCAUUAUUCAUCAGCAUAUACAUUAAAUAUUCAUAUUGAAAAUUUGAUAUAUAUCACUUCGAUAAUUUCCCUUCUUUUUUUUUUUCCAAUUUGAGAGUAUUUUCAACAAAAAUUAUAAAUUGAGCAACUUUUGAUAGAAGUUCUUUGUAAAAUGACAAAAAUUAUCAAUUUUUCAAUUGAGAGAUAGUAAUUAAAGAUCAUGAUUUCAUAGGGAUGGAAUGUUAUAAAAAAUCUCUAUUUAUGUUUAUUUUUUAUUUUUUUAUUUUUAAAGAACUUUUUUAGAAGCUAAUCAAAUGAGGUUUAAUAGUUCUUGAGAUCAACUUUGAAUUCUAAUUAUUAUAUAUCUUGGAGAUGACCACUAAUAACUUUGAAUUAUGCGAGUAAUAGCUUUUAAGAUGAGAACAUGAUACAAAAUUUAUGCAGGGCAUCGACAUAAAAUAUGUAAAAUCUUUGAAAAAAUCUAUGAUAUCGAUUCAAUAUCAUAUCGAACUUUUAAUUCUAAUUAUUAAUAUAUAUACUAAACUUUUUACUUCUAAACGAGGAUACAUACAUAUGAAAAUAAAAUAAAAAUACAUGAAUCGGAGUAUAAAGAUGACCAAAAUAUAAAUAUAUAAAGUCAAAAUAUAAAGAAAUUGGGAUCCAAACAUGCCGGAUCAAAAUAUAAACAUAUAAAAUCAAAGAAAAAACAACUGACACAAACGAAACAAAGCCAAGGCAUACCAUCGAGAAACAGAUAAAGACAUUUCACUUGAGCAUAAACUCAAAGGUUUUGGAGAUAUUGAGGCCUACUGGGGCCAGGAGCCAUGACCCCAUGAGUCAUUGAGCGUGGCCUGAUGUCCAUUCACCAUAAUCACAGCUCCUGACCAACCCUGCUGGGUUGCCAAUGGGCAAGUGUUUUUCCUCUGUUCUCUGCUUUCUCCACCAAUCCAAUCCCCAAUCAACGUAAUGAGUGGCAACGGGCCACAAUAUGAAAGGUUAGCGUAUGUGAUGGAACUUGAGUGGACAAAGCUUGACCCAAUUGGGUCAUCUCCCCCCACCAGAGGGUCCACUAGUAAACUAGGUAACAGAUUUUUAAGUAAAUGGCAAUUGAAUAUAAUAAAAAAUAAUUAGAGUUUAAUUAAUAAAAUGAUAAAAAAAAAAAAAAAAGUGAUAAAAAUGAUAUGUACAACAUUGGCUACUUUGGAUCUAGGUUUCACUGGAGAUUCCCAUAGACAAUAACCCAAAUCCAACAUAAGCAAUGCUAGCCAAAAGUAGAGAACAAUCAAUUUACUGAGAUGAUGAUGAUGAUCGGGACUAGUCAUUUAUCACGCCCCGCUAAUUUUAAAUAGAUAUUAAUUGUUUGAUUUGAAUUCAUUGACCCUCGUAGCUUUAAAGCGGACGGACAUUUAUCUCUUAUCGGACUGUAAACUUGAUAUGAUUUUUUUUUGUUUCUUUUGAUCUAGUGAAGGUGACCCACAAGCAUCACGAGGUGCUUGUACCAUUCCAGUUUUUUCACGCAAACAUUCAUCAAAUGACGGUGGCUAGAAAAAUAUCUAGAGUGUCUGACUUGAUCAGGACUUUCACGUUGAAGUGGGGACACCAUGGAAGGCAAGUGUUUGAUAGACGCACAGGUAAAUCACUGUCAGUAUAAUGAGGGUGGGAGAGGGAUUUGGAGCCAAGAAUAAACAAUUUCCAACUCUAUAAUUAUGAAGGUGGGGGGCUAUGAAGGGAUCAGAUUUCACAAUCACACUACUGCAGCACCGUUUCUAGAGAUGGCUUAUUGCUUGUCGUAUGGCCAACUGCUGAGAGAAGUUGAAAGGUCACCAAACCUACAAAUCUAAAUCUUACUUCCACUGCCCACCCAACUUGAAAAAGAAAAAUAUCUGAUCCUCACUUUCUUCUUGUUUUCUCAUCUUGGAUUUCGGUGUUUAAUUAUUUCAAGAUAUCAAAACUUCUCUCUUCUCUUGUUGCCACAGAAGUCACUCGAGUCUGCGGGUGAUAACAGGAAGAAGAUAUUUGCUCUCCAGGGAGAUAGAAUUUCAGCAACUGAAGCCAACUCUCUCACUCUCUCUCUGUGGAAAGGAAUUCCCAUUUGGCUAGGGAGGACCAUUUCUAAUCUAGAAGGUUGAUUCCAGUAUUCCAUGGUCCCAAGGUUAGGAUAACUGCUAUAUACACACUUUAUUCAUUCACUGCCUUAUCCAACUGAGUGCAAGUAGAUGCUCUUUCUAUUGUUUUUUUCCAGGUUGGAUUGGAUCCUUAAAGACCCCAUUCCUCAAAACAAUCCAAAAGUACUCUACCUGUCUUUCAACUACUGAAACUCAUGACACUUUGGGGAUCUCCACUUGUUUGUAGCUUGGUAAAUUUACGGAAAUUCAUAGGUUCGAUGUCUGAAGCAGCAUGAACCUACAAGUCAAGAAGAUCACUUUUCAUCAGUGAGGUAACAGGAGGGGGGCUGUGGACUUUCAUCUAUGGCUUGGAACUUGUAUGCUGGGCCUCGUCGCCUGCUCCUGGAUACAGAAACUGCUAUGCCACCAAUGAAUGGAAGCAGGGGAAGUAGCUCAUAUGCCAAUGAUGCGAACUUUGACAGCAACAUGGUGAUAAUCCUAGCAGCCCUGCUAUGCGCAUUGAUCUGUGCGCUUGGAUUGAACUCAAUUGUGCGCUGUGCUUUGCGUUGUAGUAAUCGAUUUUCCCUUGAGACCCCAGAUCAGGUUGCUGCGCAUUUAGCCACAACAGGCCUUGAGAAGGGCACCCUGAGCCAGAUUCCAGUUGUGGUGUAUGGCUCAUCAGGUCUAACUACUCCAGCCACAGACUGCCCCAUAUGUCUGGGGGAAUUCACUGAAGGAGACAAGGUAAGGAUCUUACCAAAAUGCAAUCAUGGUUUCCAUGUUAAGUGUAUUGACACAUGGUUGAUGUCCCGCUCUUCCUGCCCAACAUGUCGCCAACCAUUGCUUGAACAUCCAACAAAUUCUAAUGGGGAGGAGCUGGUUGUCAGAAUCCUGUGACCAGAAAUUGAACCUGGUGGCUAAAUUUGGCUUUUCAAGGUUUCUGUUUAUCAUUGUACAGGGUCAAAGAGUAUGUUUUACUAGUUUUCCUUGUAAAAACCUUUUCUUUUUCUUGUUAUAACUUAGUGUAACCAUAUUACAAUCUGCCUCUCUUUAAUCUGGUUCAGAAUCUGAAACACCCCUCUGUUUUCAAAUUUUGAAUAUGCUUGAAGUAGAUAUUGUGACCCAUGAAUGAUUUGUGGAGGCCAGUGCCAUGAUUCAAGGGUGUUGUUUAAGGGUAAAGUGAAAUAAUUGCUCACGCUUUAGCUAAUCUUUGUGUCAACCAUGGGACCUGCCUUUGUCCCUGUGGUGGCCUAAUUGCAACUUUUAGAGAAAAAAAAAGAAAAUUUCUUCUUUACUAUAUAAGCCAGCCUAAGUCAAAUUAGAUUUGUAUGCGUGUAGAAGCCGCCACAGAGCUGAUAUUUUAAUUGAAAUGAACAGCCAAAUCCAUCCAAGCUCUGUUCAGACUCAUCAGAUCAAUCAGCCCUGGGUGAGCAUUUUGUGGGGUCUUGCCAAUUUCCUUCAAACUUCUCUAUCAGAACUCAGGCUGAGCUUACUUUGUUGUUCUUGGCGUCUUCAUGUAUUCACAGUUUUCCAAGUUGAGCUAGAGAUUAUGAAGAAAAAGGAACAAACUGCAAAGAGAAGUCUGAGGAAUGGGGUUGUUCAGAUCAUAAUAGAUUAUUUGAGAACUGAAGUUGCUUAGGUGAUGCUGAAAUUAUUUGAAGAUGGCUUGGCUGGAAAAAGUUUUUCCCCUGCCUUCCUACAAAAAUUCCUUUCGUUUCUCAAGAAAAAAAAUUCAUUUCAUGGCAAAGAAAGCAUACAUGGAAUAAUUCAAACACACAACAGAAAUAAUCAAACUAAUACAUUAAUGAAAUAUUUCGACAUAAAAAGUAGUAGUAAGUCAUGAGGGUUCUCAAAAAGGAAUGGGGUGGUGGUGAGAAGGAGAGUAAGGAGAAUAAGGUGAGUUCAUCACAAAAGAAGGCGUAUUGCUGGUUUGAUGAUGGGACCUUGUGGGGGUUCUUGGGGUCACAGGACUUCUUGAUCUAGACAUCAUCAUGCUUCUAUUGCGGCCCCUCUCACCGCUCCUCCUUGGCCCUUUCUCUGCCCAUGACAGCUCUUGCUGCUUUGCCAUACUUGGAUACCCAGCACAACACCCCAUAUCUCCUGCUCUUUUUAUAUACCUGCAGCAUCAAUUUUGUUAAACUAGGCCUGUCUGUAUCUACCGUACAUUCUUAAUAUUCACUCUUGAAAGUGUCCACCAUUGAUAAAUUUGAAAGAAAGGAGCAUGUGGGGUGUGUGUAUAUAUAUAUACCUUUGGCUGAACCUUCUUCCCAAGCAAGCAAUACAC
rnacentral:lncRNA from 1 species